rnacentral:rRNA from 1 species
UUUUUUUGGGGGGGAGUUUUUUUUUGGGUUUUUUUUUCGUCAGGACGAACGCUGGCGGCGUGCUUAACACAUGCAAGUCGAACGGAAAGGCCCUUCGGGGUGCUCGAGUGGCGAACGGGUGAGUAACACGUGGGUGAUCUGCCCUGCACUUUGGGAUAAGCCUGGGAAACUGGGUCUAAUACCGGAUAGGACUACGGCCUUCAUGGGUUGUGGUGGAAAGCUUUUGCGGUGUGGGAUGGGCCCGCGGCCUAUCAGCUUGUUGGUGGGGUAAUGGCCUACCAAGGCGACGACGGGUAGCCGGCCUGAGAGGGUGACCGGCCACACUGGGACUGAGAUACGGCCCAGACUCCUACGGGAGGCAGCAGUGGGGAAUAUUGCACAAUGGGCGCAAGCCUGAUGCAGCGACGCCGCGUGGGGGAUGACGGCCUUCGGGUUGUAAACCUCUUUCAGCACAGACGAAGCGUGAGUGACGGUAUGUGCAGAAGAAGCACCGGCCAACUACGUGCCAGCAGCCGCGGUAAUACGUAGGGUGCGAGCGUUGUCCGGAAUUACUGGGCGUAAAGAGCUCGUAGGUGGUUUGUCGCGUUGUUCGUGAAAACUCACAGCUUAACUGUGGGCGUGCGGGCGAUACGGGCAGACUGGAGUACUGCAGGGGAGACUGGAAUUCCUGGUGUAGCGGUGGAAUGCGCAGAUAUCAGGAGGAACACCGGUGGCGAAGGCGGGUCUCUGGCCAGUAACUGACGCUGGGAGCGAAAGAGCGGA